GCAGUGGUGGUUCAGUGGUAGAAUUCUCACCUUCUAUGUGGGAGACUUGGGUUUGAUUCCUGGCCAAUACA
rnacentral:tRNA from 1 species